rnacentral:tRNA from 1 species
GGAGGUGUAGCUCAGUGAAGUAGAGCACAUAUAUGAUAUAUCUGAGUCCCUGGGUUCAAUCCCUUGCAACUCCU